CAGCAGCCGCGGGAAUACGAAGGGGGCUAGCGUUGUUCGGAAUUACUGGGCGUAAAGGGCGCGUAGGCGGCGAUAAUAGUCAGAAGUGAAAGCCCCGGGCUCAACCUGGGAAUUGCUUUUGAUACUGUAUUGCUUGAGUUCGGGAGAGGUGAGUGGAAUUCCCAGUGUAGAGGUGAAAUUCGUAGAUAUUGGGAAGAACACCGGUGGCGAAGGCGGCUCACUGGACCGAUACUGACGCUGAGGCGCGAAAGCGUGGGGAGCAAACAGGAUUAGAUACCCGAGUAGUCCCUGUCUCUUAUAC
rnacentral:rRNA from 1 species